rnacentral:misc_RNA from 1 species
CAACCCCUCAAGCCUCCCCGGAGGGGCUUGGUGUUAGGGACCGGCUACGCCCCAUCGCGGGUCGCCGCCCCCGAAAUACAGUGGCGGCCUCGCCGUAGCUUCCCCUGCGUAGUAGCCUGAAACCUCGCACCGGAGCGCGGCGUGGCCAUGCCGUUAAGGACCCGACUUGCCCACAA